rnacentral:rRNA from 1 species
ACUUCGGUCAAAUGACUUUUGAACUUAGUGGCGGACGGGUGAGUAACGCGUGAGCAACCUGCCUUUCAGAGGGGGAUAACAUUUGGAAACAGAUGCUAAUACCGCAUGAGACCACAAUUCCACAUGGAGAAGGGGUCAAAGGAGGAAUCCGCUGAAAGAUGGGCUCGCGUCCCAUUAGGUAGUUGGUGAGGUAACGGCCCACCAAGCCGACGAUGGGUAGCCGAGCUGAGAGGCUGAUCGGCCACACUGGAACUGAGACACGGCCCAAACUCC